CGCACUCGCCGUAAUGUUGCACCUGGUGCACGAAUUAAGAGGAUUGAGGUUUUCUUCAAGUAUACCUACAGUAGCUCACCAGACAGCUCACGUCUCGAUAAGGAACACGUGUUUUGGCUAUUAGUUUAAUAGAAGAACGGCUGUCUUUAAUCAAGAGUCGAAGUGCCUUAGCUGCCAACUUCCCAAAUAGAACUGCAGCCUCAUCACUAGAGCAUUGGAGAGAGGCGCCGAGACCACAACCAAUAGAUUUACAGGGGGAUUUCUUCAAGUCCAAAGGAACCCAGCGCAACUGUAAGAUGCCCCCACAUAAUAUAUAAUAAAUCCACUAAUGAGAGUGACAGGAAAAGAUAAUACCUCAAUCAUAUAGAUGAAACAGAUAAGCCUUCUUUAGGUGAAGGAGAGAGAGAGAGCAGCAGAUCAAUAAGGCACAGGAGAACACCGCACAGAGUAGCUAGGAAGGGCAUAAUGCAGGUGGAGCUGUAAAUACCCAGAGUGUCCCCAUCAGGAGAAAAGAAAUGCGAGUCAGCUUUGUCCUUGGAUACGGUAGUGAGAGAGAAACUGAAGCUGUGGCAGUGAGAGCCUGUGGCCUCCAGUGCUGAUUGAUAGCAUGAUAUUUAACUUUUAUUACACUUCGUAUCUAGGCUAUAAGUGCCAGGCUCCUACUGGACUCCUUAUAAACAUCUUUAAUUUCAACGUAUAUUCACUGUACUGUAUGUUCAGUAUACAGUAUGUGCACUUUUUUGUAAAAUAAUGUACUUUGCAGAAGACCAAAACUUUCCAACAUUUUCCUAAACAGUUAUGUUAAGUUUUCCAAAACUGGAUAAAGACAUUAGCCCUGUCGACAAUAGCACUGCUCUUGUCUGGUGGGAAUUUGAGAUUCUGUAAAUCUGGUACGAAUCAAAGCCUGAUGUCUUUACUAGGACACAUCCAAACAAUUGCAUAUUGUACUGGCCUGAAGUGGUGUUUACUGUUCCUGUCCUGGAACACAGAAGGACCAAACAACUACAUGAGUAUUUUCUGAAUCAUGCCUACUCAACAAUAAGAAAGUAUUAUAAUCUUCAAGUCCGCAAUCAUUUUGAAAAUUUAGGCACCUUCCAAGGCAUUCUUAACCUCUUAAUACUGCUGAUUGUCCAUUUAAUGUGCAUUUCAUUUAUGAACAUGAACAGUUCAUUCAUCAGCUCUAUGCUGUGACUAUCUCUGAUUACUGGCAAUAUUAUAAGGCCCACAAAAGUUUCCAUGCUUCAAGACUCCUUCUAUAAAGUACACGGCACCCUAACUACACUGUAGUUUGGGUCAAUUGUGGCAAACUAAUACUUCAUAUUGUGAGCCAGAAUCACUUCAAAAUUCCAGGAAUUCUUUAAAACAUCUUCCCUUUUAGGAUAUAGUUUAAAUAGGUCUUUUUUUUUUACUUUAAAGAUGCAACUCUUAGAAAUAAGUAUAUGUGAAAACUGUGGGCUGUGGAGCCAUCAUCAGGAGUGUAGGGAAAUGAAACUAGAGGAAGAGAAAGAAGAACAAAAAACAGGGUCAGAAUGGGGAAACCUCCAGUUAUAAUAUUAUAUUCUUCCAGUAAAUCUGUGGCAAGAAACAAUCUUAAAAUUACAAUUACAGCAUACAAACAUGGAAGGAAACUAAGUACGAAUAAUGUUGUGGUUUAUUUCCUGUAAAAGGCACAAUUCAGUGACAAUUCCUAACCACAUAAUCUAAUGGUAGUGUGGCAGGAUUUAAAUAACAGAGGCAAUUUUCAUAAAAAAGCCCAGUGAUGCUCUUUCGCUUCUCACCUGUUGCAAUUUAAAAGAAUUUGUCUUUGAAAGAGACAAACAACAGACAAAAUGAAGGGAAGACCUUUGUUUUCCAGAAACCCAGACAGAACCAGACAGCAUCUCCUGUCUGUCUUUAAUGAAUCACUGAAUUAAGUGCAUCUUCACCAACUUGGCUGGUGCAGCAGCCCAGAUCCCAGCCUACAUACCAUCCAUUAUAGUGCUACCCACAGUGAGUUAGUCAUUUGUCCUCCUAAUGGUGAGAUGAGUGAUGAAAACCAGUAUUAGGACAUAAUGUGGUAUAAUAACUUCUUAGUUGCAUUUCACAGAAGCUUGGAAUAUUAAUUGGUUUCUCAUAGGAUUGGUGCUUGGCCUUAAUAGGCUUUUAUUAUCUUACAUUUAAUUUAACAGUUCCGCUUUAGAUUUCAGGAUUACAAAAUAAUUACAGUGAUGCUACUAAAAUCUUUGUAUGGCAUCAAGAUACGUUAUGUUAAAACUGCAAAAUGCAUUAGUAUGAUCUUAUUACAAUGUCGUGUCCUGUUUUGGUCACCAUGAUGUGAAAUGUAUUCUGCUGUUUUGUCCAGAGCUCAAAGAAAUUAACUAUACUGAGACUAAAAAACAAUUAUUUUUGUCCUUGACCCGAGAAGACUAUUAGUGGACAUUAUUCAAGGAUUCAAAAUCUUCAAGGACAUUGACAGAGUCAAUCCUAUGGACUUCCUCAGUAUAAACAGUGAAAAAUAAAUGGAAAUUGAGGGAGAUCCUGUUUAAAAUGGAGCAACUUAUCUAGCCAUAUGGUCAAAGUGUAUAUCACCAUGUCUUUCAUGAAACAGUUGCAUGAGACACUCGGAACAAUUCAUCAGUUCAAAUCAGAUCUUAUUUCAAAUAAUAAUGGCUUCUAGUUUAUGGCAUUACAACAUAGUCACGCAGGACCAGAAGAAACACUUUCAGGCAAGUUGCAGGCAUGGAGAGGAAGCAGUGAUCAAAAUGAAAAAGAAAGCAUGUUUUUAUUAUUCAGUUUAGCAUAUUGAGUGUCAUUUCUGAAACAAUAAAAUACAAUCACCGGACCAUAAAAUAUUACAACUCAAAGGCUGCAGUCCUGCAUUAUCAGUAGGAGGGAAGGGGCACUCGACUUAUUGUUUUAUUUUGAAAAUAAAAAAUAAAACAUAUAUGGGGAGCUGUU